AGGGUUUGAUUAUGGCUCAGGACGAACGCUGGCGGCGCGCCUAACACAUGCAAGUCGAACGGAGCUUAGAGAGCUUGCUUUUUAAGCUUAGUGGCGAACGGGUGAGUAACGCGUGAGUAACCUGCCCUAGAGUGGGGGACAACAGUUGGAAACGACUGCUAAUACCGCAUAAGCCCACGGUACCGCAUGGUACUGAGGGAAAAGGAUUUAUUCGCUUUAGGAUGGACUCGCGUCCAAUUAGCUAGUUGGUGAGGUAACGGCCCACCAAGGCGACGAUUGGUAGCCGGACUGAGAGGUUGAACGGCCACAUUGGGACUGAGACACGGCCCAG
rnacentral:rRNA from 1 species